AAAGAGUUUGUUUCAACCUUGGUCCUAUCUGGUCACUCCCUCUCUCUCCUCUCCUCGACAUCUCCCUCUCUCUCCUCCCCCGCAUACAUAUGCGUUACGCUUCUCCUCCUCUCACUCCUCACUCCCCAGUCGGUGUUGAAAAAUCAAACCAAUUCUUGCUCUUUCUUAAAUCUCAAUCCUCCGAUCACGCUCUCUCUCUCUCUCCGUUUUUGGCUCUCCUCUCACAUUUCAGCUCCCAAAGACCGAACCUUUCCCGUACAAUGCUUUUACCCCUCCUUUCAAUUGAAUCGAAUUCACCCCCAAAACCUCAUUUCUGCUAAAAACCAAUGGACCUCGGUAAAUUACCCGAACCCGAGUCCAAUGCGCGGCCGGGCACCCGCUCGCGGCCCUUCGAAAUCGACCUCAACGAGACCCCCUUGCCCUCCCCCCGGGAAUUCCUCGCCGCCGCCGAGCCCGCCCAGCCGGCGGGUUUUUCCUGCGAGGGCCGGGGGAACUCGUCGGGCAACGGGAGCGAGAGGUUGCGGAGAGGAGUGAGGUUGUUCGACAUCAACGCGUCGCCGCCGCGGGAAGCGGACGGAGAGGGAUUCGUCGAGCAGAGCUACGGUGGAGGAGGCCUGGUGACGGUUGCCGAGCACAAUGCUGACAAAAUGCGCAUUGUGAGUGGCAUUCCGUUAAUUGGUCGAUCACUCAAUGCUCCAGAGACAACCUCAAAUAUGUUAUAUAGGGAGAAUGGAUUUAGUCUCCUAAAGGCAUCUCAUGGUUUAAUGCCAAUUCAAUCAAGUUUUGAAGAUAUAGUGCAACAAAGACUGCAUAAAACUUUAAAAGGAGUAGAUUUUAGUUCUCCGCUUAAUGGAGGGAUUUGGCUCAGCAAUGGUACACCUCAGAAUUUUAACACAAAGUAUCAACAUGAGGUGUAUCUUCAAGCUCUUAGAGAUUAUAUACAUGCAAAGCGAGGUCUAUUAGGCGAUGGAUGGGUUGUGGAAUUUGUUUAUUGUAAGAGCAGAUGUAAAACCUUUCCUGUGUACCAUGCACCUGAUGGAAGUAGGUUUGAGUCAAUGACUGACGUUGCUGGGCAUCUUGGAUUGCUGACAAACUAUCAUUCUUUAGAAACUGAGGAGAGAAGUGAUGGGCUUGCUUCGCUGCAGAAAAGAUUGCAUUUAGAUGGCAGACAGAAGGAAUUUUUGAGAUCCUCAAGAGCUAACUACAGACAAAAUCCUAAUAUUCUAACAAGCAGUUCUGUUGCGGGCAUCUCAUCGGGCAGUGGGAUCAUGGGUCAUGAAUUUGAGAGCUACAGAAAAAGUAAUCUGGAAGCUGACUUCAAGGAACAUGGUCGCCGUGGAUUUGAGCUAUUUCAGGAUGUAUGUCCAUUGCAGUUCGAAGAUCUCGUUGUUCUUUCUUUGGGUAAGGUUGAUCCCCGGCCCACAUACCAUAGCACCAACCAGAUCUGGCCUGUAGGUUUCCGGUCUUGCUGGCAUGACAAGAUUACUGGGUCCCUCUUUGUUUUUGAGGUUGUAGAUGGUGGUGAUGUGGGUCCUAGUUUUAAAGUAAAAAGAUAUCCAUGCUCCACACAGCCCGUUCCAAUUGGCACAACAGUCCUUUUGAGGCAAAAAUCUGACUCAAGAUAUGGGCGAGAUAAAGAACCAAAUGAUGAUUCAACUGCUUCUGGAAUGGAUGAUGAAGAGAGCAUGAGUAUAAAAAUGAUGCUAACAGAAGAUUGCCCACCACUUAUGGAAGAUGUUUUUUCCCGCAAGGUAAAUAGUUCAACAACAGCAUCCAGUUGCUUCCCAAAGAGCUACUUAACCGUCAUACCUGAUGAUCAAGGGUGGGUUGACUGUAUUGGUGAAUUUUCUGUUGAGGGAAGGUCAUGCUCAAUGGUAUGGGAUAUGGCCUCCCAAACUCUGCUACGUGCUUUCCAUGAGGUAUAUAAACGAGUAGGCAUACUAAAAUUUUUCUGUAAACAUAAUGUGAAUGAAGUGGAAGUUAAAGCAGCAGAAAAUAAUGAUUCUUUAUCCAAGUUCUGUCAUCUGUCUGGCCCCAGUGACAUUCCCCAUCUGGUUCAGAGCAAGAGUGACUUUGACUCUUGUCUUAAAAUGAUUGUGAAGUGGUUACAAGAAGACAGAUUUGGGUUAGACACAGAAUUCGUACAGGAAAUCUUGGAGCAGCUUCCUGGGAUUGAUGGCUGUCUAGACUAUAAAUUUCUGAGUGAAAGAGGUCAGAAUUCAGGUUCACAAACAGUCAGAAGUGGGUUCCUUUUGGUUAAGAGGAAGAGAGAUGUUCAAGGUGGUAAAGUAGCUGAUGGUUUUCUCUUAAGUUGUAAAAGACCCCGAAAGCAGUUCGUUGAAGAAUCAGAGAUCAAAAGAUCCUUCCCUUCAGGAAAGCAACUAAGUUCAAAGCUUCCUGCAUGUUUGAUUGGUGACGUCGUUCAGGCUUGGGAAUUUCUGUGGCGUUUCUCAGAAGUUAUAGGCUUGGAGGAAACUUUAUCAUUCCAGGAACUUGAAAAUGAACUGAUGAAUCCUUGGUUAGAAAACAUAAAUCCACUAGAAGGGUCUGGAAAUGAAACCCUAAUUUGUGGAGAUUUCACCUUGUGUACUGGUGCAGCAUUGAGAAAGGCCCACAGCUCACUGCUGAAAGUGUUGGUGCGUGAACUUCUUUUAAAAGUUGCAGGGUAUGUAGACCCUAAUUCUGAUGCUGGCGAAGGUAAGUCGAGAAGAGGUAGGAAGAAAGACGCAGAUAACUUAUUUGCUUCGAAGAAAAUGAAGCUUGAUAUGCUCCAGAUCAAUGAGCUUACUUGGCCUGAACUGGCUAGGCGGUACAUCCUAGUGUUCUUAUCCAUGGAGGGUAACCUUGACGCUGGAGAGAUUACUUGCCGUGAAAGCAGUAAAAUCUUUCAUUGUUUACGAGGUGAUGGAGGAGCACUUUGUGGUUCUCUUUCUGGAGUGGCAGGAAUGGAGGCCGAUGCGCGGUUUCUUGCAGAGGCUUCAUCAAAAGUGUUUGGUUUGGUGAAGAAAAAUGACUUUGUUGGCAUGAGUCAAGACAAGCCUGAUACAGUGAGCUCUCCCAAAUUGAAUACGGAGAGUGACAACGAAGUCCCUGAGUGGGUGCUUGCACUAGAACCUGCAAGAAAGCUACCCACCAAUGUUGGAGCCAGAAUAAGGAAGUGUGUGUACGAUGCUUUAAAUAAAAACCCUCCAGAAUGGGCAAAACAGAUAUUGGUACAUUCAAUUAGCAAGGAAGUUUACAAGGGGAAUGCAUCAGGGCCUACAAAGAGAGCAAUUGUUUCGGUGCUUGCGGAGGCGAACCACAAAGAUUUGCAGCCCAAACCUGAUAAGAAAGAGAAAGUGAAGAGUGUGAGCACUCUAUCUGACUUAAUAAUGAAGCAGUGCCGUAUCGUGCUGCGGCGUAUUAUUGCUGAAGAUGAAGAAAAGGUCUUCUGCAAUCUCUUGGGAAGAACACUUCUUAACCAUAAUGAUAACGAUGAUGAGGGGCUUCUUGGACAUCCUGCAAUGGUGUCUCGUCCUUUGGACUUCAGGACUAUUGAUAUCAGGUUGGCUGGGGGGGCCUAUGGUGGAUCCCAUGAAGCUUUCCGUGAUGAUGUUCACGAGGUUUGGAAUAUUCUACGCACCGCAUACGCAGAUCAAUCUGAUGUGGUUGAUUUGGUUGAAUCAUUAUCCCAAAAGUUUGAUUUUAUGUAUGAUAAAGAGGUUCUCCCUGUGGCGAAGAAGUUCACUGAGAAAGCCAGUUCCCUGUGCAUAAGCGAUGAAGCUCAAAAAGAGAUUGAUGAAAUGCUUAUGCAUGCAAAUGAGAGCUCAAUUCCCAAAGCUCCCUGGGAUGAGGGUGUAUGCAAAGUAUGUGGAAUAGACAAAGAUGAUGACAAUGUCCUGUUGUGCGAUACUUGCGAUUCAGAAUAUCAUACAUAUUGCUUAUGUCCUCCACUUACAAGAAUACCUGAAGGAAAUUGGUAUUGCCCUUCUUGUGUUGCUGGUCAGUCCAAGUCUAAAGGCCUAUCCCAUGGCACACAGGUUAAGUGGCGCCGGAAGAAGAGAUAUCAGGGAGACUUCACUCGACAUUUUAUGGAGACAUUGUCUCGAUUAGCUAGAACUAUGGGGUCGAAAGAGUACUGGGAUUUCAGUGUAGAAGAGAGAACAUUCCUCAUAAAAUUCUUUUGUGAUGAGACAUUGAACACAAGUAUUAUCCGUGACCACCUAGAUCAUUGUGCCUGUACGUCUGCUGAUUUGCAGCAGAAACUGCGCUCGCUUUCUGCAGAGUUGAAGAACCUAAAAUUAAGGGAAGAAAUUCUAGCUGCAAACGUGGAAAAAGCAAAUGCUGUGGACAAUAGAGCUGGAGUCUUGACUCCAGAUGGUAAACUAUUGGGAAAGAUGCCUAAUAGAGGAAACAAUGUUUCUUUUCCACAGUUAGAGGAUGGCCCAAAUGUUAACGGUGAGCAACCUUACUUGCCUCUUUCGAAAAGCAAUUCAGAGCAACAUCAUACUAGUAGUGGAAGUAAAAUUAGUAGCAAUAGUUCAUUGGUGGCCCCUUGUCAAGUUCCACAAGGACUUGUCUCAUCAGAUGGCAUUAGAACCAAUGUCACUGAAAAUGUACCUUUUGUGGCAGUGAACACAGAAUCUAUGCUUAAUGGCCACCAUUCCUCUUUUCCUUCUGCUGAAAGUGCAUUUCAAGAUGGUAACCAGGAAAUGAGUUCGUUAAAGCAUGAGAUUUCUGUUCUAAGGGAUUCAAUGGCUAGGCUUGAAUAUGAACUGCAGAAGGUUUCUACAAGGAAGGAAUGUUUGGGGAGGGACUCUAAUGGAAGGAUAUACUGGGGUUUUGAAAGGGCAGAUUCUUCACCACUGUUGGUGGUUAAUGGAAGUAUGGAGAAUCCUUCGAGUUCAAGAGGACCAAAAGUUUCAUGGGUUUCGUACCAAUCUGAUCCUGAAAUUGGACAAAUAGUUGGGUGGCUGAGGGAUGGUGAUGCAACAGAGAGAGAACUGAAAGAGUCCAUUUUGCAUUGGCAAAGAAAUAUGCCAAAAGACUCAAAAAAUACUGAAAACCCUGUUCAAAAUGAGAAACAAUCAAGUUUUCUGGUAACCAAGGCUGUGGCUGCUUUGGAGAAGAAGUAUGGUCCUGGGUUGGCAUCACAGGCUGCAGACAUGUCAGAGAAGCGAGUGCAAAAAAGUAAUGUGUACCGCUGUGAGUGCCUAGAACCUAUCUGGUCUUCUAAACACCACUGUGUAUCAUGCCACCAAACGUAUUCCAGUAGUGAGGAACUAGAAAGAAGGCAUAGUGAUGGAAAGUGCAGUGGGGGUUCAAUUAUCACUACGACUAAGAAGGUAAAUGAGGAUUCUACUAAGGGAAAGAAGGUGGCGGCUGAAACCUCAGUAAAAAAGCGCCCUAGCAACGGAAAUGGUAAACCCUCGAGAGGUGAAAAGAAGGAAAUCGGAUUUAAUGAGAGUAAAUUUCCGGAGCCUGGGUGUCCUUAUGACUUUGAGGAGAUUAGGUCAAAGUUUGUCCCGCAAAAUUCUCUUAAGGACUUGGUCAAAGAUGUAGGGCUUAUUCGAUCUAGUGGGACUCCAUCAUUUGUGCCGAGUGCAUCUCCUUGUGUGAAUGACCCCGCCUUAAGACUGGUCUCCACAAAUAAAAAUGAGGCCGUUGGUGGAAAUGAAUCAAUACAAGGGACCAACAUUGAAGGGGAUACAGAAAGUUAUUUCGACAACUUUCCAACAUAUGUUGGAAGUGAAAGAGAUGAGGCAUCAAAUGUUGAGAGGUUUGUACCUGCGUACACUAACGAAGGGUAUCAGUUGUCGGGAUUUAAGAGGAAAAGUGCUUGCAUAAUUCCUGAAUCCUCGUUGAGGCGAUUAGUAGGUAGGGUUACUCAAAUUCUUAGACAGCUCAAGAUCAACUUGCUUGACAUGGACGCUGCACUUUCUGAUGAAGCUCUAAGACCUUCUAUGGCCCACUUGGAAAAAAGAUUUGCUUGGCGUGCAUUUGUGAAAUCUGCAGGUUCAAUCUACGAGAUGGUCCAAGCUACAGUCUUGCUCGAGAACAUGAUCAAAGCAGACUAUCUGAAGAAGGAUUGGUGGUAUUGGUCUUCUCUCUCAUCUGCAGCCACCAUUUCUACUCUAUCUGCCCUUGCUCUUCGUGUCUAUACAUUAGAUGCCGCUAUCAUCUUUGAAAAGCCUUCUUCACCCGCUUCUGAUUCAACAGAAAUUCCAAAGCCAGGAGGGCCAGAGGCAGAAGGAACAACUUCCAAGUUGGAUACACCAAACGACCCAAUACUAAAGACCAGUAAUGAUCCGACUGAGAAUUCAAAACCCAAAAGCAGAUCGAGUAGGAGAAAGAAAGACUCGGGGGGUUAAUAUAGUUGUAAAAUUUAUGGUCUCUUGAAUCGGUCAUUUUGGAAAGUGAAGUAGAAGCAGGUUUGACUCUUCCUUCCGAAUGCCGAAGGUGUUUUGGUCAAUGGGGUUGUCCCUGAAGUUGGGAGGCUUGAGGAUUCUCCUGCAGUGGUCGGUCGUCUGUAGAUAUAUGAGGCAAAGCUGAUAAUUAUACAGAUAGGGGAUGAAGAUCCAGAAGUGGCUGAUACUGAAGCUCUAUCCAAAAGGGAGAAGUUGCUGUCAUCCUAUAAGGAGCGAAGUGACAAAAUCCACAUCUAGGUACAAAGGAAUCAAAAUCUGAUGUAUAAAAGGAAUAGGGAUUUUGAUCUUGAGAAGUUCUGUAACCUGUAGAGAAUGGAGCGAGUAAGAGCAAGAAACGGCUCUGUUCCAAUUUUGAGGUUUUUACUUCAUGUUGACACAGGAAUGCUGCCUUUUGUGAGUUCCCCGGCAUUCUGUAUGAGGAGAAAAGCAUAUCGAGAGUUCUCUGGCAUCUGAAUUUUGAGAAAUCACUAUAUUAGGUCCAGUGAUGUGUUCUGGUCGUAUAAUCUUCUUCAUUUCGGUACUGUUGUGUGUACUGUUUCAGUCAUCGAGCCAGGAUCUUCAAUUGGGGGUUGCUUAUGCAGGCACAUCCUUUCAUCCCGUAAUGUUGAGGAGCAAAUUAGGAAAAAUUGGAAGAACAAGGUAAACUUAUUUGAAUUUUGAGGGGGCUAAAACUAAU